rnacentral:rRNA from 1 species
AGAGAAGGUUACUAACGCAUGGUGUGGAUGCCUUGACUGAAGCAAGCGAUGAAGGACGUAGGAGGCUGCGAAAAGCCUCGGGGAGCUGUCAACCAAGCUGUGAUCC